GAUGAACGCUGGCGGCGUGCCUAAUACAUGCAAGUCGAGCGAAUGGAUUAAGAGCUUGCUCUUAUGAAGUUAGCGGCGGACGGGUGAGUAACACGUGGGUAACCUGCCCAUAAGACUAGGAUAACUCCGGGAAACCGGGGCUAAUACCGGAUAACAUUUUGAACCGCAUGGUUCGACAUUGAAAGGCGGCUUCGGCUGUCACUUAUGGAUGGACCAGCGUCGCAUUAGCCAGUUGGUGAGGUAACGGCUCACCAAGGCAACGAUGCGUAGCCGACCUGAGAGGGUGAUCGGCCACACUGGGACUGAGACACGGCCCAGACUCCUACGGGAGGCAGCAGUAGGGAAUCUUCCGCAAUGGACGAAAGUCUGACGGAGCAACGCCGCGUGAGUGAUGAAGGCUUUCGGGUCGUAAAACUCUGUUGUUAGGGAAGAACAAGUGCUAGUUGAAUAAGCUGACACCUUGACGGUACCUAACCAGAAAGCCACGGCUAACUACGUGCCAGCCGCCGCCGUAA
rnacentral:rRNA from 1 species